GCUGGGCAUGGUGGCGCACACCUGUAAUCCCAGUGGCUUGGCAGGCUGAGGCAGGAGGAUCACAAGUUCAAAGCCAACCUCAGCAACUCAGCAUGGCCCUGAGCAAAUUGGUGAGACCCUGUUUCUA
rnacentral:sRNA from 1 species